rnacentral:rRNA from 1 species
UCAGUUCGGAUUGAAGGCUGAAAUUCGCCUUCAUGAAGCCGGAAUUGCUAGUAAUGGCAGGUCAGCAUACUGCCGUGAAUACGUUCCCGGGCCUUGUACACACCGCCCGUCACACCAUGAGAGUUGGGAAUACCCGAAGCCUGUGAGCUAACGAAAGAGGCAGCAGUCGAAGGUAGAAUCAAUGAUUGGGGUGAAGUCGUAACAAGGUACC